GGAUUGUGGCUCAGUGGCAGAGCACUUGCCUCGCACAUGAGAGGCAAUGGGUUCAAUCCUCAGCACCA
rnacentral:tRNA from 1 species